CGGCAGAGAGGCAGAGCGAUGGACCCAAGAGCCUGUGGUUCCUUUAGUGCCAGAGCUCGAGUUAGGACCCCAGCCUCCUAACUCCCAGUCCAGGGAUCUUCCUGCCACAGAAUUAUCAUUAUUGUUACUCAACUGUUGAACAUAGCUGGAACCCCUCCCUCUCUGCCCGUCUUCCAGGCCAGUCCUCACAUGCCCUUGGCUUCUGUUGAUUAGCUCCUGACACAAAGGCUUGCUUUUCCCGGUGGCUUGAUCUGCUUUUGGUUUGGCAAAGCCUCUUGUUUUCAUGCAACUGGAAAAAAGAAGAAUCCAGCAUCUCCAGCAUCUCGCCUGUCAAGAAUUCAGAUAGUGCUUCCGUGGUAGAAUGAGAAAGGUGGAGAAGAGGGAUUUCAGUUCCCUGGGGCGCUGUGUCUGUUAGCUGCCGGUAAAUACCUCUGAGAGACUCUGUUUCCAGCUAAAGGAGACCACCUGUCCUACAACUCUCAGGAUCAGGCACAGGAACUGUCUGGGUGGACCCUCUGGCAAAAUGAAUUGGACCAACUCUAAGUUCCAGAACUCCAGAGCCAGUAGCAAUGCUUUCCUGGAUGACCCCACACCACUGCCCUGCUCUGAGAAUUUCACUACCCUGAAGCCAGAGACUAAACCUGAUGAACUCAGCAGCUUAGGCACAGCAGCUACAGCCAUUUCUGGCUCUGUUGGUGUUGUGGCUCUCAUCUUGCUCCUGGUGGGUCUCUUGUCCAUGACCCUGAAGAAAUGGAGACAUGAGAGACUAUUUAAGAAACAAUUGAGGCACCAGACCAACUUUCUCCAUAGAACUUCGGAGCUUUCCUGCCAUGCUGAUGCCAUAUAUUCGAAUGUGAUCAACCUGGCUUCCUGGAAAGAGGAUGACUUCGCUGUCUAUGCCAACGUGCCCCCUUUCAAUCGCCCUAGGAAGACAUCACCAGACCAAGUGGAAUAUGCCUCCAUUGUAUUCCACUGAUGGGAAGCCAAUGAGAUGCUUCAGAUGGAAAGUCAGACCUAUGCCCCAGCUGGAUCCUGAGCUGGCUUGUGCUUUAGAUGGGUGGUGUGGGUGUGUGGGUGUGUCUAUUUAGAAAAAUGCAUAAAACAUAUCCUAAUGGUGGUAAAUGGCUGGGUAUUUCUUCUGAUUUAUUGGAAACAAAGUACAGUUCUAAUGGAAAGGAGUGGCAUAGGAGAGACAAGGACACGCUGAUCCAAGCCAUCCCAGCCCCAGAAGCAGGUUCCUGAGACAGACUGGCCAAC
rnacentral:lncRNA from 1 species